AUGGAUCGGCAGAGAGAUGUGCUGCCGGGCAGUCUGAAGUGAUUGUCUGCCGUGAUGUUGCCCGAGGUUUCUCCUAUGUGGAGUGUGUACUGCUGUUGAUGUGUCAGUAGAGUGUCAACGUGUCAUCACCAUCCUCUUCCUGUCUUCUCCUCCUACAGCCAAGAAGGAUCCAAUCAGACCCCGCCUCCCAUUGAGGUGACACCCCCACCUGACCAAUCAGAGAACAAUGGGGUGAAGGAUGAGGAUGACGAGGAUGAAGGGUAUGACGCAUCCUCACAGCUCCUCAGGACCAAGAGUGAUGCCGGAGUACUGAGGCGGGCCAACCGGCGGUCGCCUAGCGACCAGCGACGCAUCAGACGCCACCGCUUUUCCAUCAAUGGACACUUUUAUAAUCA